GAUGAACGCUGGCGGCGUGCCUAAUACAUGCAAGUCGAGCGGCAGCGCGAGUAGUUUACUACUUGGCGGCGAGCGGCGGACGGCUGAGUAACGCGUAGGAACGUACCCCAAACUGAGGGAUAAGCACCAGAAAUGGUGUCUAAUACCGCAUGUGCUCCACGGAGUAAAGCUUCGGCGGUUUGGGAACGGCCUGCGUCCGAUUAGCUUGUUGGUGAGGUAAAAGCUCACCAAGGCGACGAUCGGUAGCGGGUUUGAGAGGACGACCAGCCACACUGGGAAUGAGAAACGGCCCAGACUCCUACGGGAGGCAGCAGUGGGGAAUUUUGGACAAUGGGGGAAACCCUGAUCCAGCCAUCCCGCGUGUGCGAUGAAGGCCUUCGGGUUGUAAAGCACUUUUGGCAGGAAAGAAACGUCAUGGGUUAAUACCCCGUGAAACUGACGGUACCUGCAGAAUAAGCACCGGCUAACUACGUGCCAGCCGCCGCGGUAA
rnacentral:rRNA from 1 species